GACAGAGGGGGCAAGCGUUGCUCGGAAUUACUGGCGUAAAGGGCACGUAGGCGGGAUGGCAAGUCGGUCGUGAAAUCCCUCGGCUCAACUGAGGAGCGUCGAUCGAAACUGCCGUUCUUGAGGGUUGCAGAGGAGACUGGAAUUCCCGGUGUAGUGGUGAAAUGCGUAGAGAUCGGGAGGAAUACCUGUGGCGAAGGCGGCCUACUGGGCCGGACCUGACGCUGAGACGCGAAGGCGUGGGGAGCGAACGGG
rnacentral:rRNA from 1 species